GGCAAGGUAUCUCAGUUGGUUAGAGAGCGGAGCUCAUACCUCCGAUGUCGCGAGUUCGACUCUCGCCUUUGCCACCA
rnacentral:tRNA from 1 species